UUUGGAAUUUGAUAAGAAUUAUAUUAUUAGAAUAUAUGAAAAAGAUUGGAAAUAUUCAGUUAAAUAUUAGAAAAAAAUAUAUUAAAUAUUUUAUUUUAGUUAAAGUUUAAUUUUCAAGUCUUGAAAUGUGCAGUAAUAUAAACUUAUCGAGUUAACCUAACUUUCCAAAAAAUAAAUCAUGCAUCGCUUGAGAGUUCAGUUUAUAAAUUCAUUAUCAGUGUAAACAAAUGUACAUGGUCUCCGAAUAAAGAUGCAGUAUAUAAUCAAUAAAAUUGGGCGAUUGAUUUUUUAUGAAGAAAAAAUAAAUAAAAAACUUGAAAUGUUUUUAAAUAGGAUUAUCGGCAUUUUAUAAAAAUCAUAUUGAAAAUCAAAAAUGAAAUAUCAAAUAUCGAAUGGAAUAUUCAUUAAAAGAAAAUACGCUUUCACUCACGAGACGAUUUUAAUGAUAUCAUAAAUUUCUAGGGAAUUUCACUUUUCAUUGCCACUGUGAUCGCGUUAAUCGAGAUUUAUUAGACGCCUUUUAUAGUUAAAUCUUCUCCACCGUAGCCUUUGAAAAAAAUCAAAGUGAUUAACGUGUAUAGCAUCGUUCAUUAAAUAUCGAGUUAACCACGAUGCGCUUGUCGAUCGAUUUAACAAGGCAUAAAUAAGAUUAAUCCGCUGAUUUGACGGAUGCGUUGUUAAUUCGUUUAAUUACCGUUUAUAUCACGGUAUAAUAUGUCCUUUUGACGUUCGAAUAUUUAGGUUGAGAGAUUACGACCAAUAUUUUUAUGGCUGGUCAAUAAACUAAGAACUGCAAGAAGAACCAUUAAUAGACAUAUAAACAUAUAAACAUAUAAUGAUCGUAAAUUGGUUCUGAUACUUCGUUCAUGAUAUUAUACAUAGUUUCAUUUGCAAUUUCGUGCCUCGUCUUUGUCUUAAUUCGAACAGAUCGAGAAAAUGUUUUUUUCCAAGAUGAAUGAAUUCGUCAUUGGAGAAAUAGGGCCACCGAUUGCUGUCGGAUAUCUAACCAGAGUGUUGCAGAAGCUGAGAUUUCAAAUUGGAGAUUGGAGACAAGUUAAAUGACAUGAAAUAUUUUCUUAAGUUACAUAUUCCACUAUAUAUCUAUGGAUUAUGUUCUCCAAGGAGAGAUAUCGAAGAGUUAUCAUUAUAUUGUUAUUUCUACAAAUUCCAAUGCUUAUUUAUUUUAAUAAUUAAUAUAUUACAUGUUAUGCAAAAUGAUCGUUUCAAUUUUAAAAUCGACACGUUAUUUGGAAUAUUAAUUAAUGGGGACAGCUGUUAUCAAGGAUAGGAUUGUGCAGAACAUUUGGAAAUAGUUGAUCGAAUUUUGAUAUUAUAUAUUCUAUUCUUCUUAAAAAUGAAAGAUAAACUUGGAUUAAGCAAAUUUGGAAACUUUUAUUUUCUGAGAUAUAAUGAAUAUUGAAUAAUAGAUGGAAAGAUUUAAUACCAGAAGAAAAAUUAUUAUGUUGUGAAAAUGAAGAAGAUGAGAAUUAAUGCAUGAGGUAAAACUUUUUAAAGAAUUAUAUGUAAUUAAUUACAUGUAAAUAUUAAUUAUUUUUUUUUUUUAGUACAAUAAAUAUUUUGUUAA